AUUGAACGCUGGCGGCAGGCCUAACACAUGCAAGUCGAGCGGAUGAAGGGAGCUUGCUCCUGGAUUCAGCGGCGGACGGGUGAAUAAUGCCUAGGAAUCUGCCUGGUAGUGGGGGAUAACGUCCGGACACGGGCGCUAAUCCCGCAUACGUCCUGAGGGAGAAAGUGGGGGAUCUUCGGACCUCACGCUAUCAGAUGAGCCUAGGUCGGUUUAGCUAGUUGGUGGGGUAAAGGCCUACCAAGGCGACGAUCCGCAACUGGUCUGAGAGGAUGAUCAGGCACACUGGAACUGAGACACGGUCCAGACUCCUACGGGAGGCAGCAGUGGGGAAUAGGGGACAAGGGGCGAAAGCCUGAUGCAGCCGGGCCGCGGGUGUGAAGAAGGUCGUCGGAUGGUAAAGCACUUUAAGUUGGGAGGAAGGGGAGUAAGUUAAUACAUUGCUGUUGUGACGUUACCAACAGAAUAAGCACCGGCUAACUUCGUG
rnacentral:rRNA from 1 species